GAUAGCAGUGGGGGUACAGGAUAGAAGUUCGGGUAUUUAUGAGAUGAUAGCAGUGGGGUACAGGAUGUUAGUUGGGGUUCCUGUGAGGUGAUGGCAGUGAGGAUCCCUGUGAGAUGAUAUUAGUUGGGGUCCCUGUGAGAUGAUGGAAGUUGGGGUACAGGAUGUCAGUUGGGGUUCCUAUGAGAUGAUGGAAGUUGGGGUACAGGAGGUUAGUUGGGGUCCCUGUGAGAUGAUGGAAGUUGGGGUACAGGAGGUUAGUUGGGGUCCCUGAGAGAUGAUGUCAGUUGGGGUUCCU